UUGCGCAAGCUGUAUUCGCCUCGACCAGAAGCGGCGUCAAACCUCCGUCCCAUUUUCAUUGUACAAUGUGUUACACAACGCGCCGAUUCCCCAGCACUUUCUAGGCGCCGUGGUGAAAUUUUAUUGUGAAGAAAAGAAAGGCUCCGAACAGACAUUCCUUACAGCUUCAGACCCUGUAAUCAUUGCUGAUAUUGAAGAUAGGUGCGACAUAUAAUCGUGAUGGUAUCAUUUCGUGUGCUAUGCGCAUUCUGCCUUGUCUCGGGCAUUAUCGCGCACAAUGCGAGCUCCAACUGCAAGGCUAACGGCUAUCAAUGCAAGCUGAAGUUCUUGUGCCCGAAGAAAGACAGGGUAGAGCUAGGAGGCUGUUGGUUUUGGAGUACGUGCUGCAAAAAAAAGAAACAUGACACCUGUUCAUCAAUUCGUGGGACCUGCCAGGAUAUCUCCAAACCAUGCCGUGGACUUGUACACGCAGGAAUGCAAUGCGGGAACGGCCAGAGGUGCUGCGUCCCCGUUUCGCACUAGUGACCUUCGGGAACAACAAGUACGCCGUUUUUCCUGUGGCUUCCUGAGAGCGACUUACUCGGCGUUUUCCUCGUGGCCUAUUUGCAGAAUAUUUGAGGAAUAAAGCUUCCCAUAUUCAGUGAAUUGGAUUGAAGG